GGCUCGGUAGCUUAGUUGGUACAACACUCGUUUAGCAUACAAGAGUCCUGGGUUCAAAUCCCAGCCGAGCAC
rnacentral:tRNA from 1 species